rnacentral:rRNA from 1 species
GAUGAACGCUGGCGGCGUGCCUAAUACAUGCAAGUCGAGCGAACGGACGAGAAGCUUGCUUCUCUGAUGUUAGCGGCGGACGGGUGAGUAACACGUGGAUAACCUACCUAUAAGACUGGGAUAACUUCGGGAAACCGGAGCUAAUACCGGAUAAUAUUUUGAACCGCAUGGUUCAAAAGUGAAAGACGGUCUUUCUGUCACUUAUAGAUGGAUCCGCGCUGCAUUAGCUAGUUGGUAAGGUAACGGCUUACCAAGGCAACGAUGCAUAGCCGACCUGAGAGGGUGAUCGGCCACACUGGAACUGAGACGCGGUCCAGACUCCUACGGGAGGCAGCAGUAGGGAAUCUGCCGCAAUGGGCGAAAGCCUGACGGAGCAACGCCGCGUGAGUGAUGAAGGUCUUCGGAUCGUAAAACUCUGUUAUUAGGGAAGAACAUAUGUGUAAGUAACUGUGCACAUCUUGACGGUACCUAAUCAGAAAGCCACGGCUAACUACGUG